rnacentral:rRNA from 1 species
UGGGGAAUAUUGGACAAUGGGCGAAAGCCUGAUCCAGCCAUGCCGCGUGUGUGAAGAAGGUCUUCGGAUUGUAAAGCACUUUAAGUUGGGAGGAAGGGCAGUAAGCGAAUACCUUGCUGUUUUUACGUUACCGACAGAAUAAGCACCGGCUAACUCUGUGCCAGCAGCCGCGGUAAUACAGAGGGUGCAAGCGUUAAUCGGAAUUACUGGGCGUAAAGCGCGCGUAGGUGGUUCGUUAAGUUGAAUGUGAAAGCCCCGGGCUCAACCUGGGAACUGCAUCAAAAACUGGCGAGCUAGAGUAGGGCAGAGGGUGGUGGAAUUUCCUGUGUAGCGGUGAAAUGCGUAGAUAUAGGAAGGAACACCAGUGGCGAAGGCGACCACCUGGGCUCAUACUGACACUGAGGUGCGAAAGCGUGGGGAGCAAACAGG